UGCGCAGGCGGUUAUGUAAGACAGAUGUGAAAUCCCCGGGCUCAACCUGGGAACUACAUUUGUGACUGCAUGGCUAGAGUACGGUAGAGGGGGAUGGAAUUCCGCGUGUAGCAGUGAAAUGCGUAGAUAUGCGGAGGAACACCGAUGGCGAAGGCAAUCCCCUGGACCUGUACUGACGCUCAUGCACGAAAGCGUGGGGAGCAAACA
rnacentral:rRNA from 1 species